rnacentral:rRNA from 1 species
UACGGAGGAUCCGAGCGUUAUCCGGAUUUAUUGGGUUUAAAGGGUGCGUAGGCGGCCUGUUAAGUCAGGGGUGAAAGACGGUAGCUCAACUAUCGCAGUGCCUUUGAUACUGAUGGGCUUGAAUACACUUGAGGUAGGCGGAAUGUGACAAGUAGCGGUGAAAUUCAUAGAUAUGUCGCAGAACACCAAUUGCGAAGGCAGCUUACUGUGGUGUCAUUGACGCUGAGGCACGAAAGCGUGGGGAUCAAACAGG